rnacentral:tRNA from 1 species
UAUUUAUAUAGUUUAAUAAAAACAUUACAUUUUCAAUGUAAAAAUAAAUAAUUUUUAUAAAU